UACAGAGGUCUCAAGCGUUGUUCGGAUUCAUUGGGCGUAAAGGGUGCGUAGGUGGCGGGGUAAGUCAGGUGUGAAAUCUCGGAGCUCAACUCCGAAACUGCACUUGAUACUGCCUUGCUCGAGUACUGGAGAGGAGAUUGGAAUUUACGGUGUAGCAGUGAAAUGCGUAGAUAUCGUAAGGAAGACCAGUGGCGAAGGCGAAUCUCUGGACAGUUACUGACACUGAGGUGCGAAAGCGUGGGGAGCAAACAGG
rnacentral:rRNA from 1 species